CUUUACUGUAGCUUUGCAUUGGACUUUGAACCGAUCUGUGUAGGAUAGGUGGGAGGCUUUGAAACCGGGACGCUAGUUUCGGUGGAGCCAACCUUGAAAUACCACCCUGGUUUGUUUGAGGUUCUAACCAUGGUCUGUGAAUCCAGAUCUGGGACCGUGCAUGGUAGGCAGUUUGACUGGGGCGGUCUCCUCCCAAAAGGUAACGGAGGAGUACGAAGGUACGCUAGGUACGGUCGGACAUCGUGCUAAUAGUGCAAUGGCAUAAGCGUGCUUGACUGCGAGACCCACAAGUCGAGCAGGUACGAAAGUAGGUCAUAGUGAUCCGGUGGUUCUGUAUGGAAGGGCCAUCGCUCAACGGAUAAAAGGUA
rnacentral:rRNA from 1 species